rnacentral:rRNA from 1 species
GACGAACGCUGGCGGCGUGCUUAACACAUGCAAGUCGAACGGAAAGGCCCUGCUUUUGUGGGGUGCUCGAGUGGCGAACGGGUGAGUAACACGUGAGUAACCUGCCCUUGACUUUGGGAUAACUUCAGGAAACUGGGGCUAAUACCGGAUAGGAGCUCCUGCUGCAUGGUGGGGGUUGGAAAGUUUCGGCGGUUGGGGAUGGACUCGCGGCUUAUCAGCUUGUUGGUGGGGUAGUGGCUUACCAAGGCUUUGACGGGUAGCCGGCCUGAGAGGGUGACCGGCCACAUUGGGACUGAGAUACGGCCCAGACUCCUACGGGAGGCAGCAGUGGGGAAUAUUGCACAAUGGGCGGAAGCCUGAUGCAGCAACGCCGCGUGCGGGAUGACGGCCUUCGGGUUGUAAACCGCUUUCGCCUGUGACGAAGCGUGAGUGACGGUAAUGGGUAAAGAAGCACCGGCUAACUACGUGCCAGCAGCCGCGGUGAUACGUAGGGUGCGAGCGUUGUCCGGAUUUAUUGGGCGUAAAGGGCUCGUAGGUGGUUGAUCGCGUCGGAAGUGUAAUCUUGGGGCUUAACCCUGAGCGUGCUUUCGAUACGGGUUGACUUGAGGAAGGUAGGAGAGAAUGGAAUUCCUGGUGGAGCGGUGGAAUGCGCAGAUAUCAGGAGGAACACCAGUGGCGAAGGCGGUUCUCUGGGCCUUUCCUGACGCUGAGGAGCGAAAGCGUGGGGAGCGAACAGGCUUAGAUACCCUGGUAGUCCACGCUGUAAACGGUGGGUACUAGGUGUGGGGUCCAUUCCACGGGUUCCGUGCCGUAGCUAACGCUUUAAGUACCCCGCCUGGGGAGUACGGCCGCAAGGCUAAAACUCAAAGGAAUUGACGGGGCCCCGCACAAGCGGCGGAGCAUGCGGAUUAAUUCGAUGCAACGCGUAGAACCUUACCUGGGUUUGACAUGGAUCGGGAGUGCUCAGAGAUGGGUGUGCCUCUUUUGGGGUCGGUUCACAGGUGGUGCAUGGCUGUCGUCAGCUCGUGUCGUGAGAUGUUGGGUUAAGUCCCGCAACGAGCGCAACCCUUGUUCACUGUUGCCAGCACGUUAUGGUGGGGACUCAGUGAAGACCGCCGGGGUCAACUCGGAGGAAGGUGGGGAUGACGUCAAGUCAUCAUGCCCCUUAUGUCCAGGGCUUCACGCAUGCUACAAUGGCUGGUACAGAGAGUGGCGAGCCUGUGAGGGUGAGCGAAUCUCGGAAAGCCGGUCUCAGUUCGGAUUGGGGUCUGCAACUCGACCUCAUGAAGUCGGAGUCGCUAGUAAUCGCAGAUCGGCAACGCUGCGGUGAAUACGUUCCCGGG